CUUUUACAUACUGUCUUGUCAUCUGGAAUUGCAUUUGUAGAAGAACAUGCGACGUCCUUCAUUUGAUGACUCGUAAACUCAUGCAUUAUCCAGUUAGUCUUUGUUCCUUUAUUGUUAUUAUCAGAUUUUCUUUCAUAAUAGACAAGCACCUUUUUCCGUCGAUAUACGUUUAUUCAGAAUUUUAAGGUUCAAGUAGUGUAACAGCUCCUUGUCUGUCGGCAUGAAUCGGUAACCAGGCGGGAUAGUUUCUUCAACAUGAAAAUUAGAACUUUCUUGUGCGGCCAUGACAACGUGUUUGCCUUUGUCAAUUGUGUCUGGAAGUAAA
rnacentral:lncRNA from 1 species